ensembl:misc_RNA Metazoa_SRP Metazoan signal recognition particle RNA
GCCAGGCAUGGUGGCACAUGCCUGUAAUCCCAGCUACUUGGGAGGCAGAGGCAGGAGAAUCGCUUGAACCCAGGAGACAGAGGCUGUAGUGGGCUGAGAUUACGCCACUGCACCCCAGCCUGGGUGACAGAGUGAGACUCCGUCUCUA